rnacentral:tRNA from 1 species
GCGUCGGUGGUUCAGUGGUAGAAUACUCGCCUGCCACGCGGGUGGCCCGGGUUCGAUUCCCGGCCGACGCC